rnacentral:sRNA from 1 species
GGCUGCGUGAGGGAGGAGGGCCCAGUUGUGUCUGUACCAGAAAUGAGGAGUGAUGCCAAGCCUAGGCCUGGCCCAGCCUUAGCUUCUGCAAUGCAACCUAUGUAAUCACGCCCAUUUUACAAGGAGGAAACUGGGGCCAUACAACAGGUUCAUCAUGCCUAGUGGCGUAUAAGAAGACCCCGCCACCGGUCCCUCCACGCACCACUUCAAAGCCGUUCAUCUCAGUCACAGUCCAGAGCAGUACUGAGUCUGCCCAGGACACCUACCUGGACAGCCAGGACCACAAGAGCGAGGUGACUAGCCAGUCGGGCCUGAGCAACUCGUCGGACAGCCUGGACAGCAGUACCCGACCGCCCAGCGUGACACGGGGCGGAGUCGCCCCAGCCCCUGAGGCCCCAGAGCCACCCCCAAAACAUGCAGCUCUGAAAAGUGAACAAGGGACGCUGACCAGCUCUGAGUCCCACCCCGAGGCCACCCCCAAAAGGAAACUGUCAUCAAUAGGAAUACAAGUUGACUGCAUUCAGCCAGUGCCAAAAGAGGAGCCCAGUCCCGCUACCAAAUUCCAGUCCAUCGGGGUUCAGGUAGAGGACGACUGGCGAAGCA